UGUAUCAAGUUUCAUAGUAAGAAAACAAAUACACAGAAGAAGAAAAUCCCAUUUUGGAAGAAUUUCUGGGUUGUUUCCCAUAAAAUUCAACUUCUGUGAGAAUGAAUGAUUAAUACCUCGAAUAUUCAAAUUUCUUUUAUGAGAUUUUUGUUUUUAAUUAAAAAGUUGGGUAUUUAGAUUUAUUUAUAUAUAUAUAUUUUUUUUUCUUCCGUUUCUUUUGGGUUAGUUUUACCUGGAUUGUCUGUCAAAUUUGAAUUUUCUGAGCUUUGAGACCUGGGUAUCUCCUAUUCCCAUAUGGGCGUGUUUGAUUCGUCGCUCUUGUCUGCACGUCAAAGGCAGAAGAAUUCGAAGUCUUUGCGUUUAAAGCCUUUGAACCAUCAUUACAUGCCACCAUCUAUAAGAGAACUGCUAAAUGAGCUUGUUGGUUAUGAAUUCAGUGGCUAUAUUUGGGUCCUGACAAGUGGGUUUAGCUUCUUCUCGUUGACGGACAGAGAUUUCAGUUCAGGGAAUAUUUUGUGAAUGAGAGAUUGUGGUCUUAUUAAAAGAUUUUGAGAAUCUCUGUUUCUUCCUGGGUAUUAUUCCUUUUGCCACCUGGGAGAGUUUUGUCUUUUGAUUCUUUUUUGUUUAAUUUUUUAAUCUUCUGGGGGGCUUGAAAUUUGGUUCAGGAUUCGUUUACAUUUUCUGGGUUUCUGAUCUUAGCAGUAGUUGCCAUAUUUUUUUUUUUAAAAGGGUUUUCUGGGUUCUGGGAAUUGGUGGUGGGAGGUUCUCACUUGAAGAAGCUGCAUUUCAUCAGAGAUUUUUCUGUUGAAGUUGCAGUUUUUUGUUGGUUUUUUGGUGCGUUUAGCUGUGUUGUGGUCCUGUAGAUUGGGGGUAGAGUUGGUGUUGGCAAAGGAUGGCUAGGGGAAGAAGAAGGAAGCGGCUUUUCAGCAAGAUCUAUACCUGUGGGAAAACAUCUGGCAGGGAGGAGCUCUCACAGAUUGGUGGACCAGGCUUCACAAGGGUGGUCUUCUGCAACGACCCAGAAGGCUAUGAGGCAUCGGCCUUCAUUUAUGGAGACAAUUACGUGAGAACCACCAAGUAUACGCUUGCCACUUUCUUUCCCAAGGCCUUGUUUGAGCAGUUCAGGAGAGCUGCCAACGUAUACUUCCUCAUUGUUUCCUGCUUGUCCUUCACACCUCUUGCUCCUUACUCAGCUAUCAGUUCUGUUUUCCCUCUUGUUGUUGUGAUUGGAGCUAGCAUGAUGAAAGAAGCCAUCGAAGAUUGGCGGCGUAAGACGCAGGACAUUGAGGUGAACAAUCGAAAAGUUAAGGUGCAUCAUAGUGAUGGCAGUUUUGAUAAUACAAUGUGGAGGAACCUGAGAGUUGGAGAUAUAGUGAUGGUGGAGAAGGAUAAUUUCUUUCCUGCUGACCUUCUUUUGCUUUCAUCCAAUUAUGAGGAUGCCAUUUGCUAUGUUGAGACCAUGAACCUUGACGGGGAGACGAAUUUGAAACUGAAACAAGCACUGGAGGUAACUUCAGGUUUGCAUGAGGAGGUUAACUUCCGUGAUUUCAAGCCUGUCAUUAAAUGUGAAGACCCCAAUGCGAACCUGUACGCUUUUGUUGGAACUAUGGAAUUUGGAGAGCAACAAUAUCCCCUUUCACCCCAGCAACUUCUCCUUAGGGACUCAAAGCUCAGGAAUACAGACUAUAUCUAUGGGGCUGUUGUUUUUACAGGCCAUGACACAAAAGUUAUGCAGAAUUCCAUGGAACCACCCUCUAAGAGAAGCAAAGUUGAAAGAAAGAUGGAUAGGCUUGUCUAUUUCUUGUUUACUAUGUUGGUUUUGAUUUCUUUCAUUGGAUCUAUCUUUUUUGGGACUACAACUAGAGAUGACCUUGAAAGUGGCAGGAUGAAAAGGUGGUAUCUUAGACCACAUGAUACCACAAUUUAUUUUGAUCCCAACAAAGCAGCCAUUUCAGCAAUUUUUCAUUUCUUAACCGCCCUGAUGUUGUAUAGCUACUUUAUCCCCAUCUCCUUGUAUGUAUGCAUAGAGAUUGUCAAAGUUAUGCAGACAAUCUUCAUCAACCAAGAUCUGCACAUGUACUAUGAGGAUACUGAUAAGCCUGCACAUGCUCGCACCUCAAAUUUGAACGAGGAGCUUGGCCAAGUUGACACAAUACUUUCAGACAAGACGGGAACUCUGACCUGCAAUUCGAUGGAAUUUAUAAAGUGCUCAAUCGCUGGGACAGCUUAUGGUCGUGGGAUCACAGAAGUUGAAAGGGCUAUGGCUAAGAGAAAAGGAUCACCAUUGGUUCAUGAGGAGGUCUAUGAUGAAGGCCAUGUAGAGAAUUCUGUUGAUGAAAAACCUGCUGUUAAAGGCUUCAAUCUUAAGGAUGAAAGGAUCAUGAAUGGAAAAUGGAUUAAUGAGCCAUGCUCAGAUGUCAUUCAAAAGUUCUUUCGCUUAAUGGCAAUCUGCCACACAGCCAUACCUGAAGUGGAUGUUGAGGGUGGGAAUAUCUCAUAUGAGGCAGAGUCCCCAGAUGAGGCAGCCUUUGUGAUUGCAGCAAGAGAACUUGGCUUUGAAUUUUACCAGAGGACACAAACGAGCAUCACACUGAACGAGUUGGAUCCAGUGUUUAAAAAGCAAGUUGAAAGGACGUAUAAACUUUUGAAUAUCUUAGAGUUUAAUAGCACUAGAAAGCGGAUGUCUGUGAUAGUAAGGAAUGAGGGGGAACAGCUUCUAUUACUCUGUAAAGGUGCUGACAGCGUCAUGUUUGAAAGGCUUGCAAAGAAUGGGAGGGAGUUUGAAGUGCAGACUGAGGAGCAUGCGAAUGAGUAUGCUGAUGCAGGAUUGAGAACAUUGGUGCUUGCUUAUCGUGAACUCAGUGAGGAGGAAUACAGAGAGUUUAAUGAGGAAUUCACAGAGGCCAAGAACCUGGUCAGUGCAGAUCGUGAUUUAAGGAUUGAUGAAGUGGCAGAGAAGAUAGAGAAGGAUUUGAUUCUUCUUGGUGCUACUGCUGUGGAGGACAAAUUGCAACAUGGGGUUCCAGAGUGCAUUGACAAACUUGCGCAAGCCGGAAUUAAAAUAUGGGUUUUGACUGGAGAUAAGAUGGAGACUGCAAUUAAUAUUGGUUUUGCAUGUAGUCUGCUUAGACAAGGAAUGAAACAAAUAAUUAUUAACUUGGAGACGCCGGAAAUGAAAGCAUUGGAAAAAGAGGGAGACAAGUCUGCCAUUGCCAAGGCAUCGAAGGCAAGUGUGAUCCAUCAGAUAGAUGAAGGGACGGCACAUCUCACUCCAUCAAGUGGAGGCUCAGAUGCAUUUGCUUUGAUGAUUGAUGGGAAAUCACUUGUAUAUGCUCUGGAGGAUGAUGUUAAGAACAAGUUUCUAGACCUGGCACUUGGUUGUGCAUCUGUUAUAUGCUGCCGCUCAUCACCAAAACAAAAAGCGCUGGUUACAAGAUUGGUCAAAGUUGGAACUGGUAAGACAACAUUAGCAAUUGGUGAUGGGGCCAAUGAUGUGGGAAUGCUUCAAGAAGCAGAUAUCGGAGUUGGCAUUAGUGGUGUCGAAGGGAUGCAGGCAGUCAUGUCAAGUGACUUUGCAAUUGCUCAGUUUGAAUUUCUGGAGCGUUUACUACUUGUGCAUGGCCACUGGUGUUACAGAAGGAUCUCAUCAAUGAUAUGCUACUUCUUCUACAAGAACAUCAUGUUUGGUUUUACUCUCUUCUUAUUUGAGGCAUACUCAUCAUUCUCCGCACAAGCUGCGUACAAUGAUUGGUUUAUGUCAUUGUAUAAUGUCUUUUUUACGUCACUUCCAGUCAUUGCUCUGGGUGUGUUUGACCAGGAUGUAUCUGCCCGGUUUUGUCUCCAGUUCCCUCUAUUGUACCAAGAAGGUGUGCAGAAUGCCCUCUUCAGCUGGCUUCGAAUAUUGAGCUGGAUGUUCAAUGGAGUUUGUGGUGGCAUAAUCAUUUUCUUCUUGUGCACAAAUGCAUUGGAGCUCCAGGCCUUCCGAAAAGAAGGUGAGGUUGUCGAGUUGGAGAUCAUGGGGGUGACCAUGUACACUUGUGUUGUGUGGGUUGUGAAUUGCCAGAUGGCAAUCUCUGUCAGUUAUUUCACCCUGAUUCAACACAUCUUCGUCUGGGGUGGAAUCAUGGUUUGGUAUCUAUUCCUUUUGGCCUAUGGUGCCAUGUCACCUACGUUUUCCAACACUGCCUAUGAGGUCUUUAUUGAAGCAUGUGCUCCAGCUCCCUCCUACUGGCUUAUUACACUCUUUGUUGUAAUCUCCAGUCUUAUCCCCUACUUUAUGUUCUCUGCCAUCCAGAUGCGAUUCUUUCCCAUGUAUCAUGGGAUGAUACAAUGGAUAAGAAAAGAUGGGCAAUGUGAAGAUCCUGAGUACUGCCACAUGGUGCGUCAGAGAUCAAUUCGACCCAUCACAGUUGGUUUCACUGCACGGAUUGAAGCUAAAUCUAGACAUUUGAAAGAGAAGCUUCGUCACAGAACAUAAUUACAAUUUUGGAUGGGUUACACACUUACACUUGAAUGAUGUCAGGCAAGGUAACUUGGCGGAAGGCAAGCAGAUGCGUAUAAUUAUUUAGUGAAUGAGAGCAUUCACUUUCUCCCACUUGACUGUUAAGGUUGCCUUGCUAGUACCAGUGUCAGGAUAACAGCUACUGGCAUUCUCUCCAACUGGUCACAGAUAGCAGAAUCUGUUGUAUACUAUUCAUUGGACGGGCAGAGGAAGCCCAAAAUCUGUAAAUUUUGAUUCUUGGCUGUCUCAGGCCAUUCAUCGCCACCCCACCAAAAUUUCGACCAUCCAUCUUGUACUAUUGCCAAAUUGAUUGUUCUUUGUUCUAACAUGUCAAAUUUGGGUCAGAGAAAACUCGUUGAUUCCUGUGAUCAGGUCGGGACUUGAUGCAGAUGUGUUAAACCUCUGAACUGGUCCAUGGUGUUGCUGAAUGGAAACCGACUCUCUUGCAUUCUGCCCCAUUAAGAAACUCGGCAAGUUCAUGAGUCAUGAGCUUGCUUGUUCACUAGUUUAUGGUUAUCCAUUUAGAAGAACAUUUUGCAAAGCUUUAUGACAAGAUUGGAAAGAAAAUUUCUCUCUCAAAUACGCAAGAGAUAUCUUUGAACAGCAGGCAAGCUGGGUUGUGCUUUCUUCCAACCUUUGAUAAGAUGAUGUGCUACAACAAAUUUCACACACUGAAACAAGCACUAGAUCUGGCAAGUUGUAAAAUGCUGCAUUUUGAGCAAACUGGGUGCCAAGUAGAGGUAUAUACAUAUAUAGAAUAGAAGUCGUUUCAAGAACCAACCACCUAUUUGCGAGAAGCUGAAACCACUACAACAAAAUUUUCAGUACUUCCCCGAUAUUCUUCAGGAAUAUUACCUCUUGAUAUGAAGAAGACUGCGAUGAGCCUGGUUGUUGAAAAUCUUAAAAUUCAGUUUAUUUUCCAAUGUUAAAUUGUCUUCAUUGAACUUUUGAAUAUAGCAUGUAACAAGUCUGGUAGAAGCACAAUCUAGAGGGCCAUGUAGUAUAUUGGUGGUUAAAAGGUCUACCGGUUUAGAAUGAGUUUUUACUAUCACAUGUGAAGUCCUUUUUCUUGUUAAAUAUGGAUUAGAUUGGAACACAAACUCAUUGAGAAUAAAGCAUUCAUAGCAUGAGAUGAAAUUUCCCAAACAGACUCACAAGGAAAGGCAGAAAGUUAAGAAAGAAAAAGAUCGAUUUGGAACAGCACAUACCAACAAAAUUGCAGAGAAUGAAAACCAAUACUUCCACUUCUGAUGUAGUUAGCAUCCUGAAAAUAUUUGCAUAGUUGGCUGUGAUUGUCCUUGAACUCUUGGUUAUAAGGUUUCUCUUGUUCUAUGUCAACUGAUUUUAACCAUUCUGUUUCUCUUGUAGUUGUAAUUUCUUUAAGAAUCCUAUCUUGUGGGAUAUCCCUACCAGGGCAAUGGGUUCCGCAUUGUCAGUUUGAUCCUUGGAUGGAAAGAGUUUUCAAGGGUCUAUUUGUUAUGUUCUGUUAAAGUAUUUUUGUUGUUCUUCUGUUCUUUUGGAACAAUAAAAGAACAAAAACAUGUUUGGUAACAUUGAUUCAUUUUUCUAUUCUUCUGUAAUGAACAAGGCAACUUGAACACACUGUUGAGAUAACAAAAUUGAAGGAGCAAAAAUUGAAAGCACCCCCGUAUCCUCUUCUCCUUUCUCUCCCUCCUCUCCCAACUUCAUCUCUCUCAUUGCAAAGGCUCACUCACCGGCCGUUGGUUGUGGAAGCCCCUGGAGGUCUCAUGCUUCGUCCCAAUGGUCGUGGAAGUUCUGUUUCUAGGGUUUCGAGGUCUCCGGCAGGUUCUAUCAAACGACCGUAAACUGACUGACGCUGUUAAACUGACCUGUAAAAAGCCCAAUUUACCCUUCAAAAUUCCCAGAAGGUGACGAGAAGGGGAUAAUCAAUAAGAAUGAUCUUUGCCUGUACGUCUUCGCUUCCAAACCAUCCAGUGGCGCUGCAAUUUUUAAGUUCUAGUUCCUCUUUCUCACUCCCCAGUCUUGAAUAAAAGGAAUUGGAAAAACCUCUGUUUGGCUGGCUUCAUAUGUGAAAGACAAUGAUCUGGCCUUUCUUAUCAGUUGAAAUAAAUAACUCAUGUCUUGUAACAUUGUGAUCUUUGUACAGUAUUGAAGAAUUCUCUCUCCUCUUGAAUUUGCACUACUAUUUAAGAAGAAAAGAAUUUGAAGUGUUGCAGUA